GAGUUUGAUCAUGGCUCAGAUUGAACGCUGGCGGCAGGCCUAACACAUGCAAGUCGAACGGUAACAGGAAGUGCUUGCACUUCGCUGACGAGUGGCGGACGGGUGAGUAAUGCUUGGGAACUUGCCUUUGCGAGGGGGAUAACAGUUGGAAACGACUGCUAAUACCGCAUAACGUCUACGGACCAAACGGGGCUUAGGCUCCGGCGCAAAGAGAGGCCCAAGUGAGAUUAGCUAGUUGGUAAGGUAAAGGCUUACCAAGGCAACGAUCUCUAGCUGUUCUGAGAGGAAGAUCAGCCACACUGGAACUGAGACACGGUCCAGACUCCUACGGGAGGCAGCAGUGGGGAAUAUUGCACAAUGGGGGAAACCCUGAUGCAGCCAUGCCGCGUGUGUGAAGAAGGCCUUCGGGUUGUAAAGCACUUUCAGUUGUGAGGAAAAGUUAGUAGUUAAUACCUGCUAGCCGUGACGUUAACAACAGAAGAAGCACCGGCUAACUCCGUGCCAGCAGCCGCGGUAAUACGGAGGGUGCGAGCGUUAAUCGGAAUUACUGGGCGUAAAGCGCACGCAGGCGGUUUGUUAAGCUAGAUGUGAAAGCCCCGGGCUCAACCUGGGAUGGUCAUUUAGAACUGGCAGACUAGAGUCUUGGAGAGGGGAGUGGAAUUCCAGGUGUAGCGGUGAAAUGCGUAGAUAUCUGGAGGAACAUCAGUGGCGAAGGCGACUCCCUGGCCAAAGACUGACGCUCAUGUGCGAAAGUGUGGGUAGCGAACAGGAUUAGAUACCCUGGUAGUCCACACCGUAAACGCUGUCUACUAGCUGUUUGUGACUUUAAGUCGUGAGUAGCGAAGCUAACGCGAUAAGUAGACCGCCUGGGGAGUACGGGCCGCAAGGUUAAAACUCAAAUGAAUUGACGGGGGCCCGCACAAGCGGUGGAGCAUGUGGUUUAAUUCGAUGCAACGCGAAGAACCUUACCUACACUUGACAUGCAGAGAACUUUCCAGAGAUGGAUUGGUGCCUUCGGGAACUCUGACACAGGUGCUGCAUGGCUGUCGUCAGCUCGUGUCGUGAGAUGUUGGGUUAAGUCCCGCAACGAGCGCAACCCUUGUCCUUAGUUGCCAGCCUUAAGUUGGGCACUCUAAGG
rnacentral:rRNA from 1 species